AGGAGGAGUUGCUGCAGCUGCAUGAACACCAAGGGGAAGAAAAAAAGCUAGUAACAAAGCAUGGAAGAAAGAUGCCAGCUUCCACUUCAUUAAUUCGUUUCUACACCAAAACUGGUGGUAUUUCUUAAAGUUCACAUACACAGAUACGGAGCAGUCAUUAUUUGGGGGUGUGAGGGAAGGAGAGAUUCCCACCAGAUACACAAUGUUUCACACGUUUUCUGUUGGACAAAUAGCAGGAAACUCUUGUGAAUCACAUAAAAGAUCAUAUUUCAGUUGUUUGUGAGGUAAAGAAAUGUAAAGAAGCAUAAAGUUACUGCCAGCAAUGGUCCUUUGUCAUAGCUUACCAGCAUAAUAAACAUGUUCAAAAUAAUAGUACAGAAAAAAA